GCAGAAGUUCUGCUGCAUACUGAAGACCAACAUUGGCUGCCAUGUUCAGACAGAAUCGCGACAAUAUUGACAUUACUAAUUUCGCGAGCACUGGGGAAUAAAUUAAAAAAUACAAAAUUAAUCCUGGGUACACAAUACUUGAUUAUCGAUAUAUUUACUGGAAUGCAGCAUAAGUUCAGCGAUACUGAGCACACAGGUCAUUGCCAUCGUGAGAAAUCCGCAGAGUCUACGACCCCAUCGGUCGAGCAACAGGGCGAGUAAUAACCCAGCUGGAAGUUCUGUGGCACAGGCGAUCAAGAACGACACGAACACCGAGCUCUGGAUAAGUUUUAAUGAAUACACGUGACCGUCGAACGAGAUCAGGGUGAAACACCUACAAGAUUGUAUCGGUUAUUUAUGAAGGUUUUCUCGCAACAUGAACUCGUAUCUUAUACUUGUCAGAAUGCAACUAGAAGAAUAGUGUUUCUCGCCAACCGUGGCGUUUUGAACAGAUCGAGCAGCGUCGCUGAUUCUUGAAUUUUGUCCGGUGCCUCCAUGUUACUCUGCAAGAAUUUAUUUCGAGAAUAAUUAACGAAAGAUAUAAUACGAGUCGUGCCUUUAGCCCUUACACAGUUCAAAAUUCAUAACACACUGAAAAGAAAUUUUAUUUUCAUUUUAUUCGUCAUUAAUAGAUAGCACGAACAGUGGCACUUUGCAUUCUGUUUUAUGGAAUUAGUCGGCAUGGCUUUUGAUAUCGAGAUUUAUUAAUAUAAUGGGUGGUUGGUUGAUUAAAUACUUUUCUGAUCCGAAAUACAGUCGGGAACAAAACUAAGUGGAUUAGUGGAGAAAAUGUGAAAAUUCAUUUCAAUCAUUUGCUGAACUAUCUGCAUAUUAUUAGAAGGAAAUAUAAUAAAUAAAACUCAAGUAUAUGAGGCUGAUACUAAUUUGAUUAUACUUUCUUCACAUCUAUUUCCAUUAACUAUAGCAGCUUAUUUUUAUCCCCGAUUGUACUUGUAAAUUGUAAAUAUUUUAUAAUUUCUAUAUAAAUUCCCAGAUUUACUUCAAAUUUUGUACGAGAUCGAUAUAAUACCACAAUGGAAUCGCGACAGUCAAGUUUCAUUUCAUAUUUCAUUUUUCAUCGCGUUUCAUUUUUAAAACCUGUCUAUGCAUGUUAAAAUACAUUCGCGAGUCUGUGUGUUUUCGACGUGAAUCAAAUAUAUCUGUCAGCACAGAUUCAAGUACUGUACCGUAUGAUUUCGCUUUCUCAACAACCUUGUCCAUCAUCCCGUUGGAAACGUACCAGCUUGAACAGAGCAAAUACGAGUGAUAUGGAUCGAUAAGUAAAUUUGCAUAAAUCUCAAAGCGCAAGUUGAGAAUUCGAAUAAUCGAACGAUUAGGAGUUUACUUACCGGGCGCUCUCGGGAAGAAUCCACGGUGUGAUAGCGACAGAUAACAGCGGUAUGGCAGUAACUAAUAGAACAUGGAAGAUUUAUCGAGUGAAACCGGUUAUUAUUAAUAUGGAGCAAUUGAUGACGAGCCGAAUGAACGAUACCAUCAACAUAAUUGUAGGAUAAUUGUAAGAUUAUAAAUAUAAUUCCGAUUUUAAAUUAA